AUUCCAUGAGGUGCGGUCGCGGCCCUCCGGCGGAGCAACAGCUACCGUCGGGCGGUAGAGGUAACACUUUCACGCGCCGCAUGUCUGAAUCCUUUUUUUACGAGCACCUUUCGUUCUCCUUCGGCGGGGCAACCUGCCGUUGGAACCUAUCAAAACCUUUUUUUGCAUCUAGCAUUACCUGUUCUGAUACAAACAAUCGUUACAACUUUCAACAAUGGAUCUCUUGGCUCUGGCAUCGAUGAAGAACGCAGCGAAAUGCGAUAAGUAGUGUGAAUUGCAGAAUUCAGUGAAUCAUCGAAUCUUUGAACGCACAUUGCGCCCCUUGGUAUUCCAUGGGGCAUGCCUGUUCGAGCGUCAUCUACACCCUCAAGCUCUGCUUGGUGUUGGGCGUCUGUCCCGCCUCUGCGCGCGGACUCGCCCCAAAUUCAUUGGCAGCGGUCCUUGCCUCCUCUCGCGCAGCACAUUGCGCUUCUCGAGGUGCGCGGCCCGCGUCCACGAAGCAACAUUACCGUCUUUGACCUCGGAUCAGGUAGGGAUACCCGCUGAACUUAAGCAUAU
rnacentral:rRNA from 1 species